GCCAGACGCAGUGGCACGUGCCUGUAGUCCCAGCUACUUGGGAUGCUGAGGUGGGAGGAUCGCUUGAGCCCAGGAGUUCUGGGCUGUAGUGUGCUAUGCCAAUCGGGUGUCCGCACUAAGUUCGGCAUCAAUAUGGUGACCUCCCGGGAGCGGGGAACCACCAGGUUGCCUAAGGAGGGGUGAACCAGCCCAGGUUGGAAACAGAGCAGGUCAAAGCUCCUGUGCUGAUCAGUAGUGGGAUCGCGUCUGUGAAUAGCCAUUGCACUCCAGCCUGGGCAACAUAGCAAGACCUUGUCUCUA
ensembl:misc_RNA Metazoa_SRP Metazoan signal recognition particle RNA